UUUUAAUACACAUACUUAUAUCUAGGUAGGAGUACGCUCAGACAUAACAAUAUCGCUUUACAAACGGAAAACCGCGACAGAUAAUCGUAUAAAGUCGUUAAAAAUUCUAAAAUAAAAAGUAUAAAAAGUUUCAGAGCCACUGACCGCCCUUACGCUGUUCGUUCCAUCAAAAUGCUGUCACGCCAUUGGUCGGUUCCGUACGCGCCUAUCGCACGGUUCCGCCAUCUUGUACCGCGCAGCGCUUCAAUCAACUAGAGUAUCUUUUACAUUUUAUAUUGUUUCAGUUAACAUUGUUUUGUUCUUUAUCACGUCGUUUUUUGACACUGGAGACCUUAUAAAAAAUAAAACUGGUGUAAGUAUAACCUUUGAUAUACACAUAACAGUCGAUUUUUAUACAAUAAGGGUGUAAAGAAGUGAAUAGUUUUUAGUGUUUGUUAAAGCGCUUUAAGCGCUAAAUAGUGUGGUAGUAAUUUACUCCCUUCAGUAUUUCUGCCAGUCACUCGCUUGGCUCAUUCUGUUCAGUGUGAUUUAAGCGUCCGAAGUCUAUGGACAAUUUCGCGUAAAUAUACAUUUAAAAACUAUUUCACAGUUAUUUUUCCAACUAUUAUCAGUAUUUAAAAGUUUAGUUUCACUUUGUAUAACGUUUUUGGUGUGACGCGAGUAAUUCUGGCGCGUAAUUCUAUUUUUAAAUGUAUUCGGGAGUUUUGCAAAAAUGGCGGAGAGUUGGGUGUUUUUUCGUAGUGCGUUCCUGUAACCGUUGAAAAUGACGCUUUAAGGGAAAUAUUGAUUGGAACUGUGAAACAUCAUUGAUCUGAACAGAAAUGGAGCACGUGCAAACUGGAAGGCGAGAAGCGAUCGAGUUGCGAUCGAGGCAAAGAUGUGGUCCUAUUGCAAUGAAUAGAAUGCCUGAAUAUAACCUAUUUAUAUCACUGGGGGCCUACCGCGAAAACCGAAAUCCGCAAAUUGCGGGGAUCUUUCUCUUUUACUCUCAUUAAACGUAAUUAGAGUGACAGAGAAAAAUGCCCGCAAUUGACGAACCUUGAUGUUCGCGGUAGGCCCCCGGUAAUAUAUGAUCACGCGCCAUGUUGCGGAAUUUCAUUGGAACUAAAUUUUUCAUACUAAACUGAACUGUCACCCUAUACUUAGUCUGGUCAUAAGUUCUGUCAAAAAGGUUUUGACUGAUAAAAAAGCUAUAGGUUAAGAUUCCGUAUUAUUCAUAUAUAUGGGUAUAGCUUAUUAAAUGCUGAAUUACAUAAAUUAUAAUUAAAGGUAAUUUGCUGUCUCAGUUUUGCAUAAUUCUAUGUAAUAUUCAGAAAAAUGUUAUAAAAAGCAUUUAAAAAAUACUCGAUCUGUUCGAGGUGAUUUUGUUCCCUAGGUUUUUAUUCUUCUUGUUUACAUGGUUGAAUCUUACUAAAUAAAUUCAUAAAUGAGACACACAAAGUCAAAUAAAUGAACAUUUUAAAUAAUAAUAAAAUAAAAUGAUAAAUUCAAUUAAAUGCAGCUCUGUUUUUUACAAAUUCAAUUGAUCUAUUACUCAGUAAAAUUAUUAUUUUUAUAUUUUACUUGGGCGAAGUUGGGCACCGUCGUUGAAGUUUGGGUUCCCGACGGUAGAUAAUUUUGCCAACUCCUUUUCCUUUGGCAUAACAUUACAAGUUCAUCAAACAAUAGGUUACUUAAAAAUAUAACUUGGUCAAGCAAAUCUUGUCAGUAGCAAAACGCGGCAAAUUUGAAAAAUCGCGGGUUAGCAACACUGUUUUAGAAUAAUUCCAAAAUCGGGUGUCAUCUGUGUUUUAUCUGUGGAAUGUGGAUAGUGAAUGACAGUCAUCAUAUUUGUUUACAUUCUGAAUCGUUGCUAAUUCAAGAGAAAUUUCUCUGUCACUAUUAAAAACCAAUAUAUUAAAUAAGCUUGUGCAUGAACUUAAGCAAAAUCAAGGUGCCUACAAAAUACAAUCGCGCUCGUUGAUCGUAAAUAUUUGUAAAAUUUGAGGUUAUGAUAAUAACAUGUUUUGGUUCGAUGUACAUUGCUGCUUUUCUUAGCGCAAUACCAACGCAAUACGUACUGCUUUUUGAGUGUUGCCCUACUUCACUUUGCUUUACAUUGCUACUGACAUACUUUGCUUGACAGACUAUAUCCAUGUAUCUAUUUUACUGUACUACAAAGAGCCACCUAUAAUUAUCGUAGUUAGUUGACAAGCCUACAUCAUUAGCGCGGGAGGGUGCGAUUGCAAUGGGAACACACCUUUGCCUACUUUCGAGAAUUAUUUGCGACUAGAAGAGAAACG